AUUCAACUGACGGAUCCCAAGCAGGACGAAACACGCGUCCUGGAU
rfam:Schistosoma curassoni strain Dakar, Senegal genome assembly, scaffold: SCTD_scaffold0004553